UGUAUCAUUUAUUAAAAGAAAUUCCUUCCAACAUUGCUUCUAGAAAUGUGUUAUUACUUUAGCUAAAUCCUGGCCAGUUUUGCAAACUGCCUUCUCUUACCGUUGUCUACCAAUGAAAGAAAACAGGUUUAGAACUUGUGAGACUGCAAAUCAAAUAAACUGGUGGCAAGAUCUGCGGCUCUUAGCUCAUGAUUAACUCACCUGUAUUAUUCUUCAACCAACUAAUUUACAUAUGACAUAAAUCAAUUACUAACAAAUAACUACUAGUGAAGGAAAUGUAGUGUUCUAUGACAUCAAUUUAAGUUCGUAAAAUGAUAUGAUCUAUAGGUUCGUAACUUAUUAGAAACAACACAACAUAAAACAAUUUCGAUUCAAGGAAAACAACUACAUUCAACAACUAAUUUGCAUUGAUUCAAGUCGAGAUUAUAGUUUUAAGGAUUGAGUUGUACCUUGAGAUGUAGGGAAGAAGAAAUUGAAGAGGAAACUAGAACUCAACAACAGAUAAAUUAGCAAAUCAACAGAGAUUCAAGUGACAGCUUCAAUUU
rnacentral:lncRNA from 1 species